rnacentral:rRNA from 1 species
UUGGCCUAUGGGAGGCAGCAGUGGGGAAUAUUGGUCAAUGGCCGAGAGGCUGAACCAGCCAAGUCGCGUGAGGGAAGACGGCCCUACGGGUUGUAAACCUCUUUUGUCGGGGAGCAAAGAGAGUCACGUGUGACUCAUUGAGAGUACCCGAAGAAAAAGCAUCGGCUAACUCCGUGCCAGCAGCGGCGGUAAUACGGAGGAUGCGAGCGUUAUCCGGAUUUAUUGGGUUUAAAGGGUGCGCAGGCGGAGGUGCAAGUCAGCGGACAAAUUGCGGUGCUCAACCCAGUACUGCCGUU